UACAGAGGUCCCAAGCGUUGUUCGGAUUCACUGGGCGUAAAGGGUGCGUAGGUGGUGAGGUAAGUCGGAUGUGAAAUCUCCGAGCUCAACUCGGAAACUGCAUUGGAAACUACCUUGCUAGAGGGUUGGAGGGGGGACUGGAAUACUUGGUGUAGCAGUGAAAUGCGUAGAUAUCGGGAGGAACACCUGUGGCGAAAGCGGCGCACUGGACCAUAAUUGACGCUGAUGCGCGAAAGCUAGGGGAGCAAACAGG
rnacentral:rRNA from 1 species